rnacentral:rRNA from 1 species
UACGAAGGGGCUAGCGUUGUUCGGAAUUACUGGGCGUAAAGCGCACGUAGGCGGAUAUUUAAGUCAGGGGUGAAAUCCCGGGGCUCAACCCCGGAACUGCCUUUGAUACUGGGUAUCUCGAGUCCGAGAGAGGUGAGUGGAAUUCCGAGUGUAGAGGUGAAAUUCGUAGAUAUUCGGAGGAACACCAGUGGCGAAGGCGGCUCACUGGCUCGGUACUGACGCUGAGGUGCGAAAGCGUGGGGAGCAAACAGG